rnacentral:lncRNA from 1 species
UCUUGAUCAUCAUGCCUACCACUAGUUGGAGGAUGUCACGUUUGAACUUCUAUUUGCCAUUAUGCAAUCAUAACAACUGCUAAGUAUGUAAUUGGGCACAGGUUGGACUCAGUGGUAUUUUGAUGGUGAAAGGCACCUCUUACGUGAACACGAACCAAGUUCCGGGUCAACAAAAUCUCUAUGGCACACUUUUGUCAGAAAACGUAAUCGGCGUUAUACAUGACCACUACGUCACAUUUUACCUUGACAUGGACAUAGAUGGCUCUGAUAAUUCCUUUGUUAAUGUAAACAUUCAAAAGCAACGGACCUCUCCCGGAGAAUCACCGCGGAGGAGCUACUUAAAAGCUAUAAGAAAUGUGGCAAAGACAGAAAAGGAUGCACAGAUUCAGCUCAAACUUUAUGACCCAUCCGAGUUCCAUGUGGUUAACCCGAUGAAAAGGACUCGGGUUGGAAACCCCGUUGGGUACAAGCUGGUUCCCGGUGCCACGGCUGCUAGCUUGCUAGAUCAUGACGAUCCUCCCCAAAAACGUGGUGCCUUUACAAAUAACCAGAUAUGGGUCACUCCAUAUAACCAGAGCGAGCAAUGGGCUGGUGGGUUAUUUGUUUACCAGAGUCAAGGUGAAGACACUCUUGCAGUGUGGUCUGAGAGGUAUGGAUUUCCACUCAAAUAAAAAAUCAAAAUAUUACUCUCGCAAUUAACUUUUGUCAUCCUUGGAAAUCUCCAGUUUUCCAACAUUUCCACUUGAAUCGAUUUUCUAAUUGAAUCAAGGAAAAAAAAUGUCAUGGGCUUGAAUCUUAAUUGGAGCAAGUCAUUUCGCCUUCGCCUUGAGGGAAUUUGAUCUCGAAUGUUAUGUGGGCUCGAGUCCCAGGCUCGUUAAUGUAAAGUUUUUUUUUUUUUUUUAAAUUUACUACUCAAUUCAUAACCAGAACGCAUUGAAUCCUUUUAUAAUAUCUCGUGACAGAACUAAUCUGAUUAAAUAUUUCAAUUUCUAACAACUUGUGGAUUUCUUUUUUCAGGGAUCGUCCAAUUGAGAACAAGGACAUUGUAUUGUGGUACACAUUAGGCUUCCAUCACGUACCGUGCCAAGAGGACUUCCCUAUAAUGCCAACCGUAUCAUCGAGUUUUGAUCUGAAGCCCGUCAAUUUCUUUGAGAGCAACCCAAUUCUUCGGAUCCCACCUAACGUUGAAAAAGAUUUGCCUGUUUGCAAGCCUGCUGCUUCAGCUUGAACAGCCAAUUGUAGCUCUUCCAUCUGCAUAUAUAUGCAGUAGCAGAGUAAAAACCUGGAGAUCAAUAAUGUAGAUGAAUGCUUCAGAAAAACACGAAAAAAAAAAGCAGAAAAAAAGAGAGACGGCGAUGGAUUAAUCACUGUUUUAUGACCACUUUAUGGCUACGAUCGAGGCCAGGUCAGAUGGUAUUGCACAAAACACUAAGCAUUUCUGUGUAGCAAUUUUAAUGUGCACUCUUUUAUGAAUCAACGUGGAUUAAAAUAGUUAGAUUUUUCUUAAAAUUUCAAUUCGAUUAUCAAGAAUUUUUUUUGGAAAAUGAAUUCAUUUUGGAAAAUGAAUUCCGGGGAAAGUGAAUUCCGAGAAAGUAUUUUUCGAUGUUUGGUAGUGUUAUAGAAAACACUUUCUAGUGUUUGGUUGUGUUAUGAAAAAUGAAUUGGAAAAUAAUUUAUUAAUAAAUUAAUUUUUUUUCAAAUUUAUCUAAUAUAUAUAAAAUAUUUAAUCACUUACAAUAAAAAAAAUAAAAUGUAUAAUGAUGAAUUUUUUUUAUAUUAUAUUCUAUAUUCAUACAUAGCUUAUUUUAUAAAAUAUAACUAUAUAUAUCAUAUUAUAAAGAAAUAAGCUUGUGAAAUAUUUUUUACUAUUCUAUGAAACCAUUUAUAAUUUCAUUACGUACGAAAUACAUCCGACAAAAAUUAUAGUUUUAAUAAUAUUUUUAGCAUGUAAUAAAAUUGGAUAAAAUAUUAAGGUAUAAAAUUCACUCUCAACUAUUUUUUUUUAAUGCUAAAAAAAUAGCACACUUAUAUUUAAUAAUAAUAAUAAAAAAAACGGAACAGUGCACUAAAACUGCAUUGUUCACUCUUUUUUAGUGAACAAUGUAUGCAAUACACUAUUCAUGUUAAUUGCACUGUUUCAUGAACAGUGCAAUUAACAUGAACAGUUACAGAAAAACACGCAGCAUUGGCUCAGGAAAGUGUUUUUCGAGAAUUAAAAACGGAAAACACUUUCCUUAUGUUAAACUUAACAUUUUCCUUUGACUGGAAUUACAUUUUCUUUGACUCACUUUCCAUGUAUUACCAAACAUGGGAAAGUGAGGAAAAUGGUUUCCAGAAAAGUGAAUUUCUAGAAACAAACAAGGCCUAACUAACUAAACCAUUAUAGUUAUCAGAAACUGAUCAAUCCAAUAAAUUAUUGGAUAACCUUUUUAAUCAAAGUUCUAUUUAGAUAAAGUUUGAUUUAAAAAUGAUUUGGAAGUAAAUCCUAUCAAACCAUGUUAAAUUAAUUACUUGAAAUUUAAUUUGAGUUGAGUUUUAUUUUAAACUGAUUUAAAUAUUGAUGUGGGCGUGCUAGAAAAAACAUGGUUAAGUAUUUUUUAAUUUUUUUUUAUCUAAAAUGAUAUCCGAUUGAAACUGUAAAUUUAUUAUUUUAACAUGUAAGAUUCAGUUAUGAACUUAUCCAAGUAAGUUGUCGUACGUGUAGACGUGUUACUGAGCUGUCGACUUUAUUUUUUUUCUUCCUCUCCCGUGAGUCGUUUGUUUCAUGUUGUUUUGGCAGAUUAGAGAAGUUAGACCGAAGGUGACGCUAGUGGUUAGAAUGGCAGCAUCGGUUGCGAACUAUGAUUAUAUAGUUGAUUGGGAGUUCCAAACUGAUGGACUAAUCAGAAUCAAGGUUAGUGGCCACUUUCAAUGUCUUUCUUUCCUGGGAUGAGGACAUCCUAUUUCCUGUUCUUUGAAAUAAUAUUGUAAACACAAGUAGUCCACUUUAGAAUUUUCAACAUAUAUUAGGGAUAAACAUCUUUCAGUGGUCGGAGUUUUUCUUGAUCAUCAUGCCUACCACUAGUUGGAGGAUGUCACGUUUGAACUUCUAUUUGCCAUUAUGCAAUCAUAACAACUGCUACGUAUGUAAUUGGGCACAGGUUGGACUCAGUGGUAUUUUGAUGGUGAAAGGCACCUCCUACGUGAACACGAACCAAGUUCCGGGUCAACAAAAUCUCUAUGGCACCCUUUUGUCAGAAAACGUAAUCGGCGUUAUACAUGACCACUACGUCACAUUUUACCUUGACAUGGACAUAGAUGGCUCUGAUAAUUCCUUUGUAAAUGUAAACAUUCAAAAGCAACGGACCUCUCCCGGAGAAUCACCGAGGAGGAGCUACUUAAAAGCUAUAAGAAAUGUGGCAAAGACAGAAAAGGAUGCACAGAUUCAGCUCAAACUUUAUGACCCAUCCGAGUUCCAUGUGGUUAACCCGAUGAAAAGGACUCGGGUU